rnacentral:rRNA from 1 species
AGUGAACGCUGGCGGUAGGCCUAACACAUGCAAGUCGAACGGCAGCACAGUAAGAGCUUGCUCUUACGGGUGGCGAGUGGCGGACGGGUGAGGAAUACAUCGGAAUCUACUUUUUCGUGGGGGAUAACGUAGGGAAACUUACGCUAAUACCGCAUACGACCUACGGGUGAAAGCAGGGGAUCUUCGGACCUUGAGCGAUUGAAUGAGCCGAUGUCGGAUUAGCUAGUUGGCGGGGUAAAGGCCCACCAAGGCGACGAUCCGUAGCUGGUCUGAGAGGAUGAUCAGCCACACUGGAACUGAGACACGGUCCAGACUCCUACGGGAGGCAGCAGUGGGGAAUAUUGGACAAUGGGCGCAAGCCUGAUCCAGCCAUACCGCGAGGGUGAAGAAGGCCUUCGGGUUGUAAAGCCCUUUUGUUGGGAAAGAAAAGCAGCAGGUUAAUACCCCGCUGUUCUGACGGUACCCAAAGAAUAAGCACCGGCUAACUUCGUG